GAACUACUCCCUCCGUUUGGAAUUACUUGUCGCAUAAAUGGAUGUAUCUAGAUGUAAUUUUAGUUCUAGAUACAUCCAUUUCCGAGACAAGUAAUUCCGAACGGAGGGAGUAAUAA
rfam:Triticum aestivum genome assembly, contig: Triticum_aestivum_CS42_TGACv1_scaffold_434742_5DL